GCCUGGCUGGCUCAGUCAGUUAAGUGUCUGACUUCAGCUCAGAUCAUGAUCUCAUGAUUCAUGGGUUCAAGCCCCACAUCGGGCU
rnacentral:tRNA from 1 species